AAGUUUCAGUCUUGCGACCGUACUCCCCAGGCGGCAGACUUAACGGCUUCCCUGCGGCACUGGGCUGGCACAAGGCUAGCCCAUCACCGAGUCUGCAUCGUUUACAGCUGGGACUACCCGGGUAUCUAAUCCGGUUUGCUCCCCCAGCUUUCAUCCCUCACCGUCGAGCGCGUUCUGGCAAGCCGCCUUCGCCACUGGUGGUCUUCAAUGGAUCAGUGGAUUUUACCCCUACCCACUAAGUACCGCUUGCCUCUCCCGCCUCCUAGUUCUACAGUAUCCUCCGCGGCCCAUCCGUUGAGCGGCUGGAUUUAACGGAAGACUUGUAAAACCGGCUACGGAUGCUUUAGGCCCAAUAAUCGUCCCGACCACUCGGGGUGCUGGUAUUACCGCGGCGGCUGACACCAGACUUGCCCACCCCUUAUUCUACACCGUUUUUAGAG
rnacentral:rRNA from 1 species